CUACGGAGGGUCCGAGCGUUAAUCGGAAUUACUGGGCGUAAAGCGCGCGUAGGCGGCUAUAUAAGUCAGAUGUGAAAUCCCUGGGCUCAACCUAGGAACUGCAUUUGAAACUGUAUGGCUAGAGUAUGGUAGAGGUGAGUGGAAUUUCAGGUGUAGCGGUGAAAUGCGUAGAGAUCUGAAGGAACAUCAGUGGCGAAGGCGACUCACUGGGCCAUUACUGACGCUGAGGUGCGAAAGCGUGGGUAGCAAACAGGAUUAGAUACCCUAGUAGUCC
rnacentral:rRNA from 1 species